rnacentral:rRNA from 1 species
GACGAACGCUGGCGGCGUGCCUAAUACAUGCAAGUCGAACGCAGUGGGGACGGGUGAGUAACCCGUGGGUCACCUCCCAUCAGAGGGGAUAACACUUGGAAACAGGUGCUAAACCGAUACUGAUGGAUGGACCCGCGGUGCAUUAGCUAGUUGGUGAGGUAACGGCUCACCAAGGCCACGAUGCAUAGCCGACCGGAGAGGUGGAUCGGCCACACUGGGACUGAGACACGGCCCAGACUUCUACGGGAGGCAGCAGUAGGGAAUAUUGCACAAUGGGCGCAAGCCUGAUGCAGCCAUGCCGCGUGUAUGAAGAAGGCCCUAGGGUUGUAAAGUACUUUCAGUCGGGAGGCGUUACCGACAGAAGAAGCACCGGCUAACUCCGUGCCAGCAGCCGCGGUAAUAC